GGCCUUGUAGCUCAGCUGGUAGAGUAUGAACGUACAUGGAGCAGGUGGCGUGCAUGCGUGGGUUUGAAUCCCACCGAGGCUA
rnacentral:tRNA from 1 species